GCCACGUUAACACGUCCAAGGAGUUUGUUAAUUGGACCAUCGAGAGGAGCGACCGCCGCAGUUGCCUAACGAUGCUGCAGACGCAUUACUAUCAAUUAAAAGGGCAAUAAUGUUCCUGCAAGUUCGGCGACGCCGUCCGUUCGGCCAUCGCAGCACCCUGUUUAAGGUACUCGAACUGCACAGAGAGAACGGAGCGGAGUUAAUCCUUUGUGCAGGACCUUAGCCGGCGCUCCGCGUUGAAUUUGGGUAGGUAUGCUAAUUUCCUUAGUGCUUCAAGCCGUUCAUAACGUAGUUAGGAGCCGGGGUGGGAGAACCGGAGGCAAGGAGCGCCCCAAAGAGAUAUCCUAGGUGAGAGCAGCCCCGAAGGCGCAAAACUCAUUCCAAAGAGUCCGAAGGUGCUCGAAGAAAAGAGGCUAACAAACUCGGCAAUCCUCGAAGCAGACGGGAGGAAAUUAAUUCUCUGUUUUCAAGAGGCUCGCGUAAUCACCGCGACAAAUUGAAGGAUUGCCGCUGCUGCUGCUGCUGCUGCUGCUGUGGUUAAACACCCGAGCCGGCAAAAAGUGUAGGAUGUGAAUAAAAAACGAUGUGCUAUCCGCUCCGUACCUUCGGGGGACAGGAAACUGGACUCCAUGGAUCUGCAGGAAUAUCGAGGACCUCGAUGGAUCCGCAUAACUAUCGACGAUUGUCGAUGACGGACGAGCUGAAACAAGGGGACCAUCAAAAAGUAAUACAACGACGGAGUUUCGGAUUGAGACAGUAAUAUCAGGUCGUGAUAUAUACCGAGAUGUUUGCAUCGAAGCGAGGAGAGUAGUAUUUGCUUUGACACCUUUCUCCGGGGGAAGUUGGAAGCCUCUGGGGGAUUUCUGGCGUAUCCGAAGGACCCUCCAUCCAUCCCUCCUCGAAGAGUCGUCGUCGUCGUCGUCGUCGUCUGGUGGAAGAGCUAACAAACUUAUCCCGAAGGCAGCGGGGCGCACCGUGGCAAACUCACUUUCUUCUUCCUCUCUUCUCUUCUGUCUGCUCUAAGGAAUCGCUUCGCGCGAUGCGCAGAUUUGCGAUAUCGAGAAGUGAGCAGCCCCUCGAUUCGGUAAAGCACUCGUAAUUGCGAGGCUUGAUCACCGCGGCUCAGGAACCUCCGUUGCACCGUGCAUAAAAUCCCCUCGAUGCAGGCGCAGGGGGUGAAA